UGCGUAGGCGGACUAAUAAGUCAGUGGUGAAAUCUUCCGGCUCAACCGGGAACCUGCCAUUGAUACUGUUAGUCUUGAGUUCGGUUGAGGUAGGCGGAAUGUGUAAUGUAGCGGUGAAAUGCUUAGAUAUUACACAGAACACCAAUUGCGUAGGCAGCUUACUAGACCGACACUGACGCUGAGGCACGAAAGCGUGGGGAGCGAACAGGAUUAGAUACCCUGGUAGUCC
rnacentral:rRNA from 1 species